GCCGGCGCUGUUCGGUUAUCGACUGAUAAUCGAGAGGUCGCGGGUUUGAUUCCCGCCCGCCUGCG
rnacentral:tRNA from 1 species